ensembl:snRNA U6 U6 spliceosomal RNA
GUGCUCACUUUGGCAGCACAUAUACUAAAAGUGGAAAGACACAAAGAUUAGCGCAGCCCCUGGAUAAGGAUGAAAUACAAAUUUGUGAAGUAUUCCCUAUUUAA